GCCGCCGUAGCUCAGUUGGUAGAGCGCAUCCAUGGUAAGGAUGAGGUCCCCGGUUCAAUCCCGGGCGGCGGCUCAA
rnacentral:tRNA from 1 species